rnacentral:rRNA from 1 species
AGUGAACGCUGGCGGUAGGCCUAACACAUGCCAGUCGAACGGCAGCACAGUAAGAGCUUGCUCUUACGGGUGGCGAGUGGCGGACGGGUGAGGAAUACAUCGGAAUCUACUUUUUCGUGGGGGAUAACGUAGGGAAACUUACGCUAAUACCGCAUACGACCUACGGGUGAAAGCAGGGGAUCUUCGGACCUUGCGCGAUUGAAUGAGCCGAUGUCGGAUUAGCUAGUUGGCGGGGUAAAGGCCCACCAAGGCGACGAUCCGUAGCUGGUCUGAGAGGAUGAUCAGCCACACUGGAACUGAGACGCGGUCCAGACUCCGACGGGAGGCAGCAGUGGGGAAUAUUGGACAAUGGGCGGAAGCCUGAUCCAGCCAUACCGCGUGGGUGAAGAAGGCCUUCGGGUUGUAAAGCCCUUUUGUUGGGAAAGAAAAGCAGCAGGUUAAUACCCCGCUGUUCUGACGGUACCCAAAGAAUAAGCACCGGCUAACUUCGUG